UACGGGGGGAGCAAGCGUUGUUCGGAUUUACUGGGCGUAAAGGGCGCGUAGGCGGCCACCGCAAGUCAGUUGUGAAAUCUCUGGGCUUAACCCAGAACGGUCAGCUGAUACUGCGGGGCUAGAGUGCAGAAGGGGCAACUGGAAUUCUCGGUGUAGCGGUGAAAUGCGUAGAGAUCGGGAAGAACAUCGGUGGCGAAGGCGGCCUGCUGGGCUAUUGCUGACACUGAGGCGCGACAGCGUGGGGAGCAAACAGG
rnacentral:rRNA from 1 species